UACGUAGGGUCCGAGCGUUGUCCGGAAUUAUUGGGCGUAAAGAGCUCGUAGGCGGUUUGUCGCGUCUGCUGUGAAAUCCCGAGGCUCAACCUCGGGCCUGCAGUGGGUACGGGCAGACUGGAGUGCGGUAGGGGAGAAUGGAAUUCCUGGUGUAGCGGUGGAAUGCGCAGAUAUCGGGAGGAACACCAAUGGCGAAGGCAGCUCGCUGGGACGGUACUGACGCUGAGACGCGAAAGCGUGGGGAGCAAACAGG
rnacentral:rRNA from 1 species